GUCUUUGGACAUGCCACCCUGAACAAGCCCAAUCCUGUCUGAUCUUAGAAGCUAAGCAGGGUCGGGCCUGGUUAGUACUUGGAUGGGAAACCAACUAGAAAGACCAGGUGGUGUAGGUA
rnacentral:rRNA from 1 species